rnacentral:rRNA from 1 species
UACGAAGGGGCUAGCGUUGCUCGGAAUCACUGGGCGUAAAGGGUGCGUAGGCGGGUCUUUAAGUCAGGGGUGAAAUCCUGGAGCUCAACUCCAGAACUGCCUUUGAUACUGAAGAUCUUGAGUUCGGGAGAGGUGAGUGGAACUGCGAGUGUAGAGGUGAAAUUCGUAGAUAUUCGCAAGAACACCAGUGGCGAAGGCGGCUCACUGGCCCG